CGUUGGCAACCCUGUUUUCCCCUUGACUCAUAGAGAAAUAACAACAAGUUGUUAUUUCUCUAUGCCUUGACUGUUAAGAAUUUGGAAAUAUACGUGAUAACGUGAUCGAGAUAUCAUCAACAAACCAAAUCUUGGAUUUGAAGAAGGAAGCGUAAGAUAAUAAUUCAGGCAUGGAAGUAAAAACGGAUCGUAAGGAAGAUUUUGUGGAAGGUGACCCAAGAUAUAUAGCCAGUCAGUUAUUCUUAUCCACAAAUCUUGGAAAUUUGAAAAAGGAACAAAAAGAUUCAGCUAUGGAAAUAAAGGAUGAAAUUAAGGAAGAGUUAGAAGGUGAUCCAACAUAUAUAGAGAGUCAGUUAUCCACAUCAAUAUAUCUUGAAGAUCUGAAGAAUGAAUCUGAAGAUGAUAACUCAGGAACUCUCAGAGAGAAGGACACAUUGGGAAUUAUGAAAACAACAUCUCUACAUGCAUGUAACAAAGACUGUGGGAUUCAACCAGAUGAAGAAAAAAAAUGUGAAAUUUGUAUUAAUCAGCUUGGCCACAAAAGUGAUUUCAACAAACUCGUGAAAAUACACACUGGGAAAAAGUCUUACAAGUGUGAAAUUUGUUCUAAACAAUUUAGUACUGUAGACAGUCUUAAAUUACACAUAAAAACACACAAAUUUAAAAUAAAGCUGGACUGUGAAGUUUGCCUUAAGAAAUUCAGCGAAGCAAACGAUUUGAAAAUACAUUUGAGAAUGCACCCUAGAGUAAAACCUUAUAAGUGUGAGAUUUGUUUUAAGCAAUUUAGUCAAGCAGGUCAUUUGAAAAGACAUUUGACAGUGCACACUGGAGAAAAACCUUAUAAGUGUGAAAUUUGUUUUAAGCGAUUUAGUGAAGCAGGUGCUUUAAAAACACACUUAAGACUGCAUACUGGAGAAAAAUCUUAUAAGUGUGAAAUUUGUUUUAAGCGAUUUAGUGAAGCAGGUGCUUUAAAAACACACUUAAGAGUGCAUACUGGAGAAAAACCUUAUAAGUGUGAAAUUUGUUUUAAGCAAUUUAGACAAGCAGGUACUUUUAAAGCACAUUUAAGGACACACACGGGGGAAAAACCUCAUAAGUGUGAGAUUUGUUUUAAGCAAUUUAGUCAAGCAAGUAUUUUAAAAACACAUUUGAAAGUGCACACUGGAGAAAAACCUCAUAAGUGUGAAAUUUGUUUUAAGCAAUUUAGUGAAUUAAGUUAUUUGAAAAGACAUUUGACAGUGCACACUGGAGAAAAACCUCAUAAGUGUGAAAUUUGUUUUAAGCAAUUUAGUGAAUUAAGUUAUUUGAAAAGACAUUUGACAGUGCACACUGGAGAAAAUCCGCAUAAGUGUGAGAUUUGUUUUAAGCAAUUUAGUGAAGCAGGUACUUUAAAAACACACUUAAGACUGCAUACUGGAGAAAAACCUUAUAAGUGUGAGAUUUGUUUUAAGCAAUUUAGUGAAGCAGGUACUUUAAAAACACACUUAAGACUGCAUACUGGAGAAAAACCUUAUAAGUGUGAGAUUUGUUUUAAGCAAUUUAGUCAAGCAGGUACUUUAAAAACACACUUAAGACUGCAUACUGGAGAAAAACCUUAUAAGUGUGAGAUUUGUUUUAAGCAAUUUACUGAAGCAGGUACUUUAAAAACACACUUAAGAGUGCAUACUGGAGAAAAACCUUAUAAGUGUGAGAUUUGUUUUAAGCAAUUUAGUGAAGCAGGUGCUUUAAAAACACACUUAAGAGUGCAUACUGGAGAAAAACCUUAUAAGUGUGAGAUUUGUUUUAAGCAAUUUAGACAGGCAAUUAAUUUUAAAACACAUUUAAGAGUGCAUACUGGAGAAAAACCUUAUAAGUGUGAAAUUUGUUUUAAGCAAUUUAGUGAAGCAGGUGCUUUAAAAACACACUUAAGAGUGCAUACUGGAGAAAAACCUUAUAAGUGUGAGACUUGUUUUAAGCAAUUUAGACAAACAGGUACAUUUAAAGCACAUUUAAGGACACACACGGGGGAAAAACCUCAUAAGUGUGAGAUUUGUUUUAAGCAAUUUAGUCAAGCAGGUCCUUUGAAAAGACAUUUGAGUGUGCACACUGGGGAAAAACCUCAUAAGUGUGAAAUUUGUUUUAAGCAAUUUAGUGAAUUAAGUUAUUUGAAAAGACAUUUGACAGUGCACUCUGGAGAAAAUCCGCAUAAGUGUGAGAUUUGUUUUAAGCAGUUUAGUGAAGCAAGUUCUUUAAAAACACACUUAAUAGUGCAUACUGGAGAAAAACCUUAUAAGUGUGAGAUUUGUUUUAAGCAAUUUAGUCAAGCAGCUCAUUUGAAAAGACAUUUGAGUGUGCACACUGGGGAAAAACCUCACAAGUGUGAAAUUUGUUUUAAGCAAUUUAGUCAAGCAAGUAUUUUAAAAACACAUUUGAAUGUGCACACUGGAGAAAAACCGCAUAAGUGUGAGAUUUGUUUUAAGCAGUUUAGUGAAGCAAGUUCUUUAAAAACACACUUAAUAGUGCAUACUGGAGAAAAACCUUAUAAGUGUGAGAUUUGUUUUAAGCAGUUUAGUGAAGCAAGUUCUUUAAAAACACACUUAAGAGUGCAUACUGGAGAAAAACCUUAUAAGUGUGAGAUUUGUUUUAAGCAAUUUAGUCAAGCAGGUCAUUUGAAAAGACAUUUGAGUGUGCACACUGGGGAAAAACCUCAUAAGUGUGAAAUUUGUUUUAAGCAAUUUAGUGAAUUAAGUUAUUUGAAAAGACAUUUGACAGUGCACACUGGAGAAAAUCCGCAUAAGUGUGAGAUUUGUUUUAAGCAAUUUAGUGAAGCAGGUACUUUAAAAACACACUUAAGACUGCAUACUGGAGAAAAACCUUAUAAGUGUGAGAUUUGUUUUAAGCAGUUUAGUGAAGCAAGUUCUUUAAAAACACACUUAAGAGUGCAUAAUGGAGAAAAACCUUAUAAGUGUGAGAUUUGUUUUAAGCAAUUUAGUCAAGCAGGUCAUUUGAAAAGACAUUUGAGUGUGCACACUGGGGAAAAACCUCACAAGUGUGAAAUUUGUUUUAAGCAAUUUAGUCAAGCAAGUAUUUUAAAAACACAUUUGAAAGUGCACACUGGAGAAAAACCGCAUAAGUGUGAGAUUUGUUUUAAGCAAUUUAGUGAAGCAGGUACUUUAAAAACACACUUAAGAGGGCAUACUGGAGAAAAACCUUGAUAAGUGUGAGAUUUGUUUUAAGCAAUAUAGUCAAGCAGUUAGUUUAAAAACACAUUUAAAAGUGUACACUGGAGAAGAGCUUCAUAAGUGUUAAAUUUGUUCUAAGCAAUUUAGUCAAGCAAGUCAUUUGAAAAGACAUUUGAGUGUGCACACUGGAGAAAAAUCUCACAAGUGUGAAAUUUGUUUUAAGCAAUUUAGUCAAGCAAGUAUUUUAAAAACACAUUUAAAAGUGCACACUGGAGAAAAACCGCAUAAGUGUGAGAUUUGUUUUAAGCAAUUUAGUGAAGCAGGUACUUUAAAAACACACUUAAGAGGGCAUACUGGAGAAAAACCUUGAUAAGUGUGAGAUUUGUUUUAAGCAAUAUAGUCAAGCAGUUAGUUUAAAAACACAUUUAAAAGUGUACACUGGAGAAGAGCUUCAUAAGUGUUAAAUUUGUUCUAAGCAAUUUAGUCAAGCAAGUCAUUUGAAAAGACAUUUGAGUGUGCACACUGGAGAAAAAUCUCACAAGUGUGAAAUUUGUGUUAAGCAAUUUAGUCAAGCAAGUAUUUUAAAAACACAUUUAAAAGUGCACACUGGAGAAAAACCUCACAAGUGUGAUAUUUGUUUUAAGCAGUUUAUUACAGCAGGUGUUUUGAAAUAUCAUUUGAGAGUGCACACUCGGGAAAAACCUCACAAGUGUGAAAUUUAUUUCAUGCAAUUUAGGUAUGCAAACAGCUGCAAAAACACUUAAGUACACACACUGAAGAAAAGCUUUAGCUUUACAGGUGUGAAAUUUGUUCUAAGCAAUUUAGUCAAGGUGGAGGGAGAUUUGAAAAAGCAUUUAACCUUCCGCAACUAACAUAGGUUUUCUGAACAUUAAAGCUAACAUCGGGUCUCAGAGACCGACAAAAAAAUGUUUCCAUUGACACACUUUCAAAUGUAGAGUUGUGUUUAUUCCUUGAAGGAGUGAAAUUAAACAAGAUGCAUACCUAUUUUUAAUUUAUUAAGCCUCUUAAACAUUAGUAAAUUAUUUCUUUUUAUUUAACCUCUAAAUUUAUUUACAAUCUGUAAAACAAGUUACAAUGAGUAAAUGUUGUGACCACUAGUGUAGGUGACUUGGAGAACAUGAUUUAUCAUUUUCAUUUUCUUUACCUUUAGGGUAGAUUUAAAAUUUGGUUGUUUAUUUAAGUUAGUAACUAAUUUAUGCAUUCAUUAGUAUGAUAAGAUAUUGUUUGUAAAAUAAUUUAAAGUUAUUAAAUUCAAUUGAAUUGUA
rnacentral:misc_RNA from 1 species